ACUGGUAGUACAGCUGUGGGAGUAUUAAUACUGUGUGUGUAGGGGCACUGGUAGUACAGCUGUGGGAGUAUUAAUACUGUGUGGGGAGGGAGGGCACUGGUAGUACAGCUGUAGGAGUAUUAAUACUGUGUGUGUGUGUGUGUAGGGACACUGGUAAUACAGCUGUGGGACUAUUAAUCCUGUGUAGGGGCACUGGUAGUACAGCUGUGGGACUAUUAAUCCUGUGUGGGGGACACUGGUAGUACAGCUGUGGGAGUAUUAGUACUGUGUGUGUGUGGGGACACUGGCAGUACAGCUGUGGGAGUAUUAAUACUGUGUGUGUGGGGUGGGACGCUGGUAGUACAGCUGUGGGAGUAUUAAUACUGUGGGUGUGUGGGGACACUGGGAGUAUUAGUACUGUGUGUGUAGGGUCACUGGUAGUACAGCUGUGGGAGUAUUAGUACUGUGUGUGUAGGGACACUGGUAGUACAGCUGUGGGAGUAUUAAUACUGUGUGUGUGGGGUGGGACGCUGGUAGUACAGCUGUGGGAGUAUUAAUACUGUGGGUGUGUGGGGACACUGGGAGUAUUAGUACUGUGUGUGUAGGGUCACUGGUAGUACAGCUGUGGGAGUAUUAGUACUGUGUGUGUAGGGACACUGGUAGUACAGCUGUGGGAGUAUUAAUACUGUGUGUGUGGGGUGGGACGCUGGUAGUACAGCUGUGGGAGUAUUAAUACUGUGGGUGUGUGGGGACACUGGGAGUAUUAGUACUGUGUGUGUAGGGUCACUGGUAGUACAGCUGUGGGAGUAUUAGUACUGUGUGUGUAGGGACACUGGUAGUACAGCUGUGGGAGUAUUAAUACUGUGUGUGUGGGGACACUGGUAGUACAGCUG